UNUCAUGGCAGCCAGGAAACAAAUAGAGUA
rnacentral:piRNA from 1 species